GUGCCAUUUGGAGUAACAGUCUACAAUGCCACAACACGUUGUUGGACCUAUCUUUGGCGUUUCUUCUGCCAGCUGAUGAGUCUUUUAGGGAUGCAAAUUGUCUGCCUUCGGAAAAUCAGAAGAAUGAAAGAAUGGGAUUUAUAGCAUAUAUGCUCUAUGUGCAGCUGAUGAAGCUUUGAGAGAUGAAAAUUGGUUGCCUUCGGAAAAUAAGAAGAAGGAAAGAACGGGUGUUUCAAUUGGUGGGGGAAUCGGAAGCAUCUCAGACAUUUUAAAUGCAUGACUGCUGAUUGCUGAAAAUGAAAUAUGCAGUUAUGGAUCCAUUCUAUAGUUGGAAUAUGAGACUCCAUAUGUGGGUGUAUGUUUAUUCUUGCUUGAAUCUGGUGCUGAAGGU